rnacentral:rRNA from 1 species
AAAAAAGGUAAGCUACUAAGAGCGAAUGGUGGAUGCCUUGACUGGUAAAGGCGAUGAAGGACGUACUAGACUGCGAUAAGCUACGGGGAGCUGUCAAGAAGUUUUGAUCCGUAGAUUUCCGAAUGGGGCAACCCAAUGUAUAGAGAUAUACAUUACCUAUAUAGGAGCGAACGAGGGGAAUUGAAACAUCUUAGUACCCUCAGGAAAAGAAAUCAAUAGAGAUUGCGUCAGUAGCGGCGAGCGAAAGCGCAAGAGGGCAAACCCAGUGCUUGCACUGGGGGUUGUAGGACUGCAAUGUGCAAGAGGUAAGUUUAGCAGAACAUUCUGGAAAGUAUAACCAUAGAGGGUGAUAGUCCCGUAUGCGAAAAACAAACCUUAGCUAGCAGUAUCCUGAGUAGGGCGGGACACGAGGAAUCCUGUCUGAAUCCGGGUCGACCACGAUCCAACCCUAAAUACUAAUACCAGAUCGAUAGUGCACAAGUACCGUGAGGGAAAGGUGAAAAGAACUGAGGUGAUCAGAGUGAAAUAGAACCUGAAACCAUUUGCUUACAAUCAUUCAGAGCCCUAUGUAGCAAUACAGGGUGAUGGACUGCCUUUUGCAUAAUGAGCCUGCGAGUUGUGGUGUCUGGCAAGGUUAAGCAAACGCGAAGCCGUAGCGAAAGCGAGUCUGAAUAGGGCGCUUAGUCAGAUGCUGCAGACCCGAAACGAAGUGAUCUAUCCAUGAGCAAGUUGAAGCUAGUGUAAGAACUAGUGGAGGACUGAACCCAUAGGCGUUGAAAAGCCCCGGGAUGACUUGUGGAUAGGGGUGAAAGGCCAAUCAAACUUCGUGAUAGCUGGUUCUCUCCGAAAUAUAUUUAGGUAUAGCGUUGUGUCGUAAUAUAAGGGGGUAGAGCACUGAAUGGGCUAGGGCAUACACCAAUGUACCAAACCCUAUCAAACUCCGAAUACCUUAUAUGUAAUCACAGCAGUCAGGCGGCGAGUGAUAAAAUCCGUCGUCAAGAGGGAAACAACCCAGACUACCAGCUAAGGUCCCUAAAUCUUACUUAAGUGGAAAACGAUGUGAAGUUACUUAAACAACCAGGAGGUUGGCUUAGAAGCAGCCAUCCUUUAAAGAAAGCGUAAUAGCUCACUGGUCUAGUGAUUUUGCGCGGAAAAUAUAACGGGGCUAAAGUAAGUACCGAAGCUGUAGACUUGCACACAACUUAGAUUAUUUAAGUUUAGAAUAUGAGAAACUAAGUUAUAUGUUUAGUUAUAUUUUUACUGAUUUUUAUAGAGUAAAGAUAGAAAUAAAACUUAGUAAAAUCAGUAAAAAUAUUCUUAGACUAAAGUUAAGUAGUUUAAGUUGUGUGCAAGUGGUAGGAGAGCGUUCUAUUUGCGUCGAAGGUAUACCGGUAAGGAGUGCUGGAGCGAAUAGAAGUGAGCAUGCAGGCAUGAGUAGCGAUAAUUAAUGUGAGAAUCAUUAACGCCGUAAACCCAAGGUUUCCUACGCGAUGCUCGUCAUCGUAGGGUUAGUCGGGUCCUAAGUCGAGUCCGAAAGGGGUAGACGAUGGCAAAUUGGUUAAUAUUCCAAUACCAACAUUAGUGUGCGAUGGAAGGACGCUUAGGGCUAAGGGGGCUAGCGGAUGGAAGUGCUAGUCUAAGGUCGUAGGAGGUUAUACAGGCAAAUCCGUAUAACAAUACUCCGAGAACUGAAAGGCUUUUUGAAGUCUUCGGAUGGAUAGAAGAACCCCUGAUGCCGUCGAGCCAAGAAAAGUUUCUAAGUUUAGCUAAUGUUGCCCGUACCGUAAACCGACACAGGUGGGUGGGAUGAGUAUUCUAAGGCGCGUGGAAGAACUCUCUUUAAGGAACUCUGCAAAAUAGCACCGUAUCUUCGGUAUAAGGUGUGGUUAGCUUUGUAUUAGGAUUUACUCCGAAAGCAAGGAAACUUACAACAAAGAGUCCCUCCCGACUGUUUACCAAAAACACAGCACUCUGCUAACUCGUAAGAGGAUGUAUAGGGUGUGACGCCUGCCCGGUGCUCGAAGGUUAAUUGAUGGGGUUAGCAUUAGCGAAGCUCUUGAUCGAAGCCCGAGUAAACGGCGGCCGUAACUAUAACGGUCCUAAGGUAGCGAAAUUCCUUGUCGGUUAAAUACCGACCUGCAUGAAUGGCGUAACGAGAUGGGAGCUGUCUCAAAGAGGGAUCCAGUGAAAUUGUAGUGGAGGUGAAAAUUCCUCCUACCCGCGGCAAGACGGAAAGACCCCGUGGACCUUUACUACAGCUUGACACUGCUACUUGGAUAAGAAUGUGCAGGAUAGGUGGGAGGCUUUGAGUAUAUGACGCCAGUUGUAUAUGAGCCAUUGUUGAGAUACCACUCUUUCUUAUUUGGGUAGCUAACCAGCUUGAGUUAUCCUCAAGUGGGACAAUGUCUGGUGGGUAGUUUGACUGGGGCGGUCGCCUCCCAAAUAAUAAC